GCUUUAAGGCAACACCGUUUCCUGCGUCCUUUGUGUUCCCCUGUCCUGUGGUCUGGAGACAAAGCUGGAGAACAAGACUCAGCUGACCUCUGACUUUCUGGAGCUAUCCUUGAGUAGGGGAGAUGGACGGAUGGCACGCGAGGGACCGAACAGAGAGAGGGUCACACAUGGUCCUCAAUGGAUUGGAUGAUGCCUACUGCAUCGGUGAAGGUGAUCUUUCUUACUCAUCUACUGGUUCAGAUGCGAAUCUCUUCCAGAAACGCUCUCACAGACACAUCCAGACGUAUGUUUUACCAGCAGUCUGGGCAUUUCUUAGUCCAGUCAAGUUGACACAUGAGAAUAACGGGCACAAAUAACUGCAGUUGAAGGAUAAAUGCUCCAUGUCCUCUCUCUGCCAGUUGGCGUUUAUCAGAAGGCACUGGAAGAAGAGGGACAAAGGUGCCUGGAUAUAUGUGUUCACCAAGAGUUGUCAGGACCUUGAUUCUAAAAGGAAGUUGUAAACUAAUGUUUUUGACGUCAAGAUGUUUCUGGAAGUGGAGGCAGUUCAAGAGUUUGGCAAACAGAGGCUUGCAGGCUAAGUUCAACCUAUUGCC